GCGUCAAUCAAUCAUAACGGACACGGAUUUCAAAGGCAGCAGGAUGAAAGAUAACCAUGUAUCAGGUCUGUGUUCAUCAAGACAUGAAGACUCUGGAGUGGGACAAGAGAAGGAUGAUGGGGUGUUAUUCCAAUUGACACAUUAAGGUAAAUUAAAUAUUGAGGCUCAUGUUUGCAUCUUUGUGUUUAUAUAUCAAAAGAUUGCUCUGUGAUUUCAGUGAAAGCUGAUAAAUACAGAGGGCUGGACAGUGGUUUCAUUGAUUAAGUAAAGAGGUGGGACAAGGAUGCUGACAGGACAGGAGGAGGUGACAUUCAGACAUUCAGCGCAGACAUUUUCAUCCAAAGCAACUUGAGGAAGAAAACAGAAGCAGUUCACCCUAAAAGUGGGCUGCUGUAAUGUUUACAUCUAUGGAAAGAGGAGCUGAGAAGAAAAGAGACGCUGGAAAGCAGUACUUCUUGUUGAGGACAACCCUGAAUAGGAACACUUUCUCAUACACAUAGAUUAUUAGUAGUGUUUGAUUAACUGGAACUUGUAUCUUUGCGUGAAGCUAGCUGUAGAGUUGGUUUCACAUACACAUUAAGUUUCUAAUUAACUAACUUUUAAGUUCAGUUUGGUUUAAACUUGUAUUUACCCAUGGUAAUUCAUUUAAAUUUCAAUUCAUGCUAAUAUAUUAAUUUCAAUGAAAACUUCUGUAUUUGUGUAUAGCUGGUAAUUUGGGCAAACUACAUUUCACACACCAAUGUAACUGUC